rnacentral:rRNA from 1 species
AUACGGAGGGUGCAAGCGUUACUCGGAAUCACUGGGCGUAAAGCGCGCGCAGGCGGUCUUUUAAGUUGGAUGUGAAAGCCUACGGCUCAACCGUAGAACUGCAUCCAAAACUAUUAGACUAGAGUGUGGGAGAGGAAGAUGGAAUUAGUUGUGUAGGGGUAAAAUCCGUAGAGAUAACUAGGAAUACCAAAAGCGAAGGCAAUCUUCUGGAACACUACUGACGCUGAGGCGCGAAAGCGUGGAGAGCAAACAGGAUUAGAUACCCUAGUAGUCC